rnacentral:rRNA from 1 species
UACGAAGGGGGCUAGCGUUGUUCGGAUUUACUGGGCGUAAAGCGCACGUAGGCGGAUCGUUAAGUCGGGGGUGAAAUCCUGGAGCUCAACUCCAGAACUGCCUUUGAUACUGAGGAUCUUGAGCUCGGGAGAGGUGAGUGGAACUGCGAGUGUAGAGGUGAAAUUCGUAGAUAUUCGCAAGAACACCAGUGACGAAGGCGGCUCACUGGCCCGAUACUGACGCUGAGGCACGAAAGCGUGGGGAGCAAACAGG